AACAUCGCGCACCUGCGGGAACCUGCGGAGGGAUCAUUACCGAGUUUACAACUCCCAAACCCCUGUGAACAUACCAAUUGUUGCCUCGGCGGAUCAGCCCGCUCCCGGUAAAACGGGACGGCCCGCCAGAGGACCCCUAAACUCUGUUUCUAUAUGUAACUUCUGAGUAAAACCAUAAAUAAAUCAAAACUUUUAACAAUGGAUCU
rnacentral:misc_RNA from 1 species